CCUACGGGAGGCAGCAGUGGGGGAUAUUGCACAAUGGGGGGAACCCUGAUGCAGCGACGCCGCGUGGGUGAAGGAGUGCUUCGGCAUGUAAAGCCCUAUCGGCAGGGAAGAAGCAAGACGGUACCUGACUAAGAAGCCCCGGCUAACUACGUGCCAGCAGCCGCGGUAAUACGUAGGGGGCGAGCGUUAUCCGGAUCCACUGGGGGUAAAGGGAGCGGAGACGGCCAAGCAAGCCAGGGGGGAAAGCCCGGGGCACAACCCCGGGACUGCCGUUGGAACUGCAUGGCGGGAGUGCGGGAGGGGCAGGCGGAAUGCCUGGUGUAGCGGUGAAAUGCGUAGACAUCAGGAGGAACACCGGCGGCGAAGGCGGCCUGCUGGACCGCGACUGACGUUGAGGCUCGAAAGCGUGGGGAGCGAACAGGAUUAGAUACCCCUGUAGUC
rnacentral:rRNA from 1 species